CCCCUAGGUUUCCUUUUGGGCGGCGUUUCGUUCCAGGCGCUUGCGUGGCGUUUAUCGUCAUCAGCUUAUCUGGCGCCCAUGUGUUUUAGCUCGGGCUGGCGUCGCAGCGCCUGGGCGGCUGUGGGUCUUCCUGCACAGCGCGUCUUGCAGCGGGCUGGAGCCCGCCUAGUCAGCGCCACUUCUGGCCCGUUUAGUUUUCUGCUUGUGUCUCCUCUGCCGGUUCUCCUGGGGUGUUGCUCAAGCAACCG
rnacentral:lncRNA from 1 species